rnacentral:rRNA from 1 species
GGAUGAACGCUGGCGGCGUGCCUAAUCCAUGCAAGUCGAGCGAACAGACGAGGAGCUUGCUCCUCUGAUGUUAGCGGCGGACGGGUGAGUAACACGUGGAUAACCUACCUAUAAGACUGGGAUAACUUCGGGAAACCGGAGCUAAUACCGGAUAACAUGUUGAACCGCAUGGUUCAACAGUGAAAGACGGUUUUGCUGUCACUUAUAGAUGGAUCCGCGCCGCAUUAGCUAGUUGGUAAGGUAACGGCUUACCAAGGCAACGAUGCGUAGCCGACCUGAGAGGGUGAUCGGCCACACUGGAACUGAGACACGGUCCAGACUCCUACGGGAGGCAGCAGUAGGGAAUCUUCCGCAAUGGGCGAAAGCCUGACGGAGCAACGCCGCGUGAGUGAAGAAGGUCUUCGGAUCGUAAAACUCUGUUAUUAGGGAAGAACAAAUGUGUAAGUAACUAUGCACGUCUUGACGGUACCUAAUCAGAAAGCCACGGCUAACUACGUG